rnacentral:pre_miRNA from 1 species
CCGUCCAAUAAAAGAUGUCUCAAGUUUGUCAAAAUUUAGAUGUAUCUAAACAUGACUUAGUGUAUAGAUGCAUUCAAAUUUAGUCAAAGUUGAGACAUCUUUUAUUGAACGG